UUCCUACGGGAGGCAGCAGUAGGGAAUCUUCCGCAAUGGGCGAAAGCCUGACGGAGCAACGCCGCGUGAGUGAUGAAGGUCUUCGGAUCGUAAAACUCUGUUAUUAGGGAAGAACAAAUGUGUAAGUAACUAUGCACGUCUUGACGGUACCUAAUCAGAAAGCCACGGCUAACUACGUGCCAGCAGCCGCGGUAAUACGUAGGUGGCAAGCGUUAUCCGGAAUUAUUGGGCGUAAAGCGCGCGUAGGCGGUUUUUUAAGUCUGAUGUGAAAGCCCACGGCUCAACCGUGGAGGGUCAUUGGAAACUGGAAAACUUGAGUGCAGAAGAGGAAAGUGGAAUUCCAUGUGUAGCGGUGAAAUGCGCAGAGAUAUGGAGGAACACCAGUGGCGAAGGCGACUUUCUGGUCUGUAACUGACGCUGAUGUGCGAAAGCGUGGGGAUCAAACAGGAUUAGAUACCCUGGUAGUCCACGCCGUAAACGAUGAGUGCUAAGUGUUAGGGGGUUUCCGCCCCUUAGUGCU
rnacentral:rRNA from 1 species